rnacentral:rRNA from 1 species
AUUGAACGCUAGCGGGAUGCCUUACACAUGCAAGUCGAACGGCAGCAUAAGAGAGCUUGCUCUCUUGAUGGCGAGUGGCGAACGGGCGAGUAAUGUAUCGGAACGUGCCCAGUAGCGGGGGAUAACUACGCGAAAGCGUAGCUAAUACCGCAUACGCCCUACGGGGGAAAGGAGGGGAUCCGCAAGGACCUUUCACUAUUGGAGCGGCCGAUAUCGGAUUAGCUAGUUGGUGAGGUAAGGGCUUACCAAGGCAAUGAUGCAUAGCCGAGUUGAGAGACUGAUCGGCCACAUUGGGACUGAGACACGGCCCAA